ACAAAGGCUCCUUUGGAGCCACCCACACUACGCAUACCACGAAG
rfam:Gossypium hirsutum cultivar TM-1 unplaced genomic scaffold scaffold3636.1, whole genome shotgun sequence